GUUACUUCUCAACAGAGGAGUCGUAGAGAGAUUGAACGAAGCGGCAAAGUUUCUUCGGUAAAUGCAUCUUCCUCGUAGAACUUCAAACAUAUCUGUGAUAUCUCUCUUUCAUUCUGCUUGUGGAUCUUUUUCCCCUUUUUUUUCUGUUUUAUUUUGCUUCUCGUAAGUCUUUGAUGUUGUUUAUUUUCUGAAAAUUCUGGAUGGCAAUUUUACAUAAAAGUUUCCAUAGGGUUCGGUUAAAAUAAAAGUUUCCAUUUUCUACCAGAUGCCAUGUUGAUUUAAAAGAGUUUGUUUUUGAGGUUUUUAGACAUUAGAUCCUUCCGUUACUCUGAUAAAUCAUUUAUAUUGACGUUUAGAACUCUUUUUUCAACGGCUUAUGAUGUUAUGAAGAAAUGGACCGAAUAUCUGCUCUGCCAAAACCUAUACUUCAUGACAUUCUUGCAAGGUUGCCAGAAAAAGAUGCGGCUAUGACUAGUGUUUUGUCAAAUGAAUGGAGAGACACAUGGUAUUCAUUUCCCAUAUUAUCCAUUUGCGACAGAAUUAUUUUUGGUUCUUAUAGUCCUCAGAUAAUUAGCAAACUAGACAAACUAAUUGGCUAUGUCACGAGAAGAUUGUUGAAGCUUCGUGAGCAAAGCUUAACAAUAAAAGUAUUUAAGCUCGACAUGAUGCGAGAACACAAUAAGUAUAUGUCCCAUCAUUUUGAUCUUUGGAUGAACAUGGUUAGCGAAAAUCGUGUGGAAGUACUUGAGCUUUGCCUCUUCUACUUUGACACCUAUCGUGUUCCACCAUAUGACUUACCACGUUGUGUCUUUGAAGUUAAAUCUCUUACUAAGUUGGUGUUGAAAGGAAAAAUAAAACUUAACCAAUCAUUCUUCAAUCAUUCUAUCAAGUUAUUUUCACUGAGAACACUAUGUUUACGUGAUCUACUCCUUGAAGAUAAAGGAAUUAUUGAGCAUCUCAUUUCUCACUGUCCCCUGCUUGAAGAUUUAACUGUAUCUUGUUGUUUAGUAUAUAAAAAGAAGAAUCCAUUUGAAAACGAAAAAUUUGUGGAAUCAUUAUUCUUGCAUGGUCUACAAAAGCUAAAGGAAGCUGAAAUUCAAGGAAUAAAAGAGGUUGAAUUUAGACAGUUUCACAAGAUUGAGAUGUUUGCGGCUGAGGAACUCCAGUAAUACAGAGAAGUGGUUACUUGAUCUAUUUCAUAAUUUCCCUUUCCUUGAGCAUUUGGAAUUGUGUUCUUGCAAUAUGUUAGAGAGAAUUAAUAUUUCGAGUGCUCAACUCAUGAUCUUGGAGGUUAACUCUGACUUGAAGGAGGUGAAUAUUGAUGCUCCAAAUUUAUUAUCAUUUUACUAUUGCGGGGAUGACAGAGCUAUUAUAUCUUUCCUAACAAGUUCUGAUCAUUUGGUAUUCGAUGCUUCUCCUGCCCAUGAUUCUAGGCGUGGUUAUUAUAGCUUGAGGGAAUUUAUCCUAAACAUUAAACCACGAAAGGUUUUGGCAUCACUCUCCCUCUCUGUCUAUCAUAUGGAUGGGAUUGAACAGAAUUGUCUGAGUAUACAGCAAGUUUCAUCCAUUCCUCCUAGUAUCAAAUGCUUGGAAUUGGACUCUUCUCCAAAUGAGGAUGAGGAUCUGUAUUUCCAUUAUAUGAAUUGGUUGCUCUCUUGUUGCUGUCCAAAAACUAUUUCAUUCUUCUUUCAGGAUGAUUAUGGCAUGAAACCAUUCACUGUGUUUGUCUAUGAGUUGCUGAUGGGCAGAAAAAAGCAGGAGUGGUUUGACCAUUUUGGUGAUACAAAGUGUUGGUGGCAUGACUUGAAGAUUGUCAAGCUCACAUACUCAUUCAACGAUGACGAGAAGGUUGACUUUAAGACCGCGGUAAAUUCAAUAUUAUUGUCAACUAAUGACCGGAAAUCUGUUAGUUUUAGCUUAGAAUUGUAAUAUUCUUGUUAUCAACUGGUACACAUUCCUAAUUAGAUUUACAAUUUUGAUGUUACCACUAAACAAGAUUUGGGUAUCGUAUUGAGUAUUUUUUUUCAAGUUUUUAUACUUACACCAAUUAAUAUUGAGGAGUGCUAGGGAACAACAAUUUUUGUAUUUUGUAACCAUCAAUUGGCUA